AAAAUAAAAAGAAGGAGAGAAGGAAAGCAAGCAACCCUAUUGUCCAACUUCACACGUCUUCCUUUUCCUCCUUGUCAUUUUCCGUCUCUUUUUUUUUACUCCUUUUUCUC
rnacentral:ribozyme from 14 species